rnacentral:rRNA from 1 species
UACGUAGGGGGCAAGCGUUGUCCGGAAUUAUUGGGCGUAAAGAGCGUGUAGGCGGUCCGGUAAGUCAGCUGUGAAAGUCAAGGGCUCAACCCUUGAAUGCCGGUUGAUACUGUCGGGCUAGAGUCCGGAAGAGGCGAGUGGAAUUCCCGGUGUAGCGGUGAAAUGCGUAGAUAUCGUAAGGAAGACCAGUGGCGAAGGCGGGUCUCUGGACAGUUCCUGACGCUGAGGCACGAAGGUCAGGGGAGCAAACGGG